rnacentral:misc_RNA from 1 species
AAGGAGUCGAACAUUUAUGCGAGUGUUUGGGUGUUAAACCCUUGCGCGUAAUGAAAGUGAACGUAGGUGAGAGCCCGUACGGGUGCAUCAUCGACCGAUCUUGAUGUUUUCGGAUGGAUUUGAGUAAGAGCAUAGCUGUUCGGACCCGAAAGAUGGUGAACUAUGCGUGGAUAGGGUGAAGCCAGGGGAAACUCUGGUGGAGGCUCGCAGCGGUUCUGACGUGCAAAUCGAUCGUCAAAUCUGCGCAUGGGGGCGAAAGACUUAUCGAACCAUCUAGUAGCUGGUUACCGC